GUUCUUCCAGAGCUCAGUAGUUCACUGCAAUUCUCAGUAAACAUUCCAUUGAAAACCAUAGGAAUCCAAGUGCACGAAAGUUCAGUUCGAAAGUCAGACCAAGGAAGACCUAAGAAAGUCUGUGGUUUAAGGGAGUGAUUCUCAACCCAGUCCUCAUUCUGGACUGUUGAUGCAUAUUGAGGACUGUGUAAGGAAGCACUCUUUUAAGGUCUUGGAAAACAUAUUAUGUACGAACACAG